AGUGAACGCUGGCGGUAGGCCUAACACAUGCAAGUCGAACGGCAGCACAGUAAGAGCUUGCUCUUACGGGUGGCGAGUGGCGGACGGGUGAGGAAUACAUCGGAAUCUACUUUUUCGUGGGGGAUAACGUAGGGAAACUUACGCUAAUACCGCAUACGACCUACGGGUGAAAGCAGGGGAUCUUCGGACCUUGCGCGAUUGAAUGAGCCGAUGUCGGAUUAGCUAGUUGCGGGGUAAAGGCCCACCAAGGCGACGAUCCGUAGCUGGUCUGAGAGGAUGAUCAGCCACACUGGAACUGAGACACAGUCCAGACUCCUACGGGAGGCAGCAGUGGGGAAUAUUGGACAAUGGGCGCAAGCCUGAUCCAGCCAUACCGCGUGGGUGAAGAAGGCCUUCGGGUUGUAAAGCCCUUUUGUUGGGAAAGAAAAGCAGCAGGUUAAUACCCCGCUGUUCUGACGGUACCCAAAGAAUAAGCACCGGCUAACUUCGUG
rnacentral:rRNA from 1 species